GCUACCAUGCAGUCGACGCUGAAGCUUGGUGCUUGCACUGGGUGGAUGAGUGGCGAACGGGUGAGUAAUACGUGAGUAACCUGCCCUUGACUCUGGGAUAAGCCUGGGAAACUGGGUCUAAUACUGGAUACGACAUGUCACCGCAUGGUGGUGUGUGGAAAGGGUUUUACUGGUUUUGGAUGGGCUCACGGCCUAUCAGCUUGUUGGUGGGGUAAUGGCUCACCAAGGCGACGACGGGUAGCCGGCCUGAGAGGGUGACCGGCCACACUGGGACUGAGACACGGCCCAGACUCCUACGGGAGGCAGCAGUGGGGAAUAUUGCACAAUGGGCGAAAGCCUGAUGCAGCGACGCCGCGUGAGGGAUGACGGCCUUCGGGUUGUAAACCUCUUUCAGCACGGAAGAAGCGAAAGUGACGGUACGUGCAGAAGAAGCGCCGGCUAACUACGUGCCAGCAGCCGCGGUAAUACGUAGGGCGCAAGCGUUGUCCGGAAUUAUUGGGCGUAAAGAGCUCGUAGGCGGUUUGUCGCGUCUGCUGUGAAAGCCCGGGGCUUAACCCCGGGUGUGCAGUGGGUACGGGCAGACUUGAGUGCAGUAGGGGAGACUGGAAUUCCUGGUGUAGCGGUGAAAUGCGCAGAUAUCAGGAGGAACACCGAUGGCGAAGGCAGGUCUCUGGGCUGUUACUGACGCUGAGGAGCGAAAGCAUGGGGAGCGAACAGGAUUAGAUACCCUGGUAGUCCAUGCCGUAAACGUUGGGCACUAGGUGUGGGGAACAUUCCACGUUUUCCGCGCCGUAGCUAACGCAUUAAGUGCCCCGCCUGGGGAGUACGGCCGCAAGGCUAAAACUCAAAGGAAUUGACGGGGGCCCGCACAAGCGGCGGAGCAUGCGGAUUAAUUCGAUGCAACGCGAAGAACCUUACCAAGGCUUGACAUACACCGGACCGGGCCAGAGAUGGUCUUUCCCCCUUGUGGGGCUGGUGUACAGGUGGUGCAUGGUUGUCGUCAGCUCGUGUCGUGAGAUGUUGGGUUAAGUCCCGCAACGAGCGCAACCCUCGUUCUAUGUUGCCAGCACGUGAUGGUGGGGACUCAAAGGAGACUGCCGGGGUCAACUCGGAGGAAGGUGGGGAUGACUUCAAUCAUCAGGCCCCUUAUGCUUGGGCUUCACGCAGGCACAAUGGCCAGUACAAUGGGUUGCGAU
rnacentral:rRNA from 1 species